GCAUCAAGCAAUGUACAUAUGUAUGUAGCAGUCAUGUUGGCUUCCGUGAUCAAUUCUUCUUGCGUUGAUGUGUCUUUUCACAACACAAUUGGAACAUGCUGAUCAACUUGCUGCUGCUGGAAGUCUCCAUCCUAUUACCUCAUCCUGGAUGGUGUACCAAGGACAGCAUAUGAAGGAGCAGUAAUCUCC